rnacentral:rRNA from 1 species
AGUGAACGCUGGCGGUAGGCCUAACACAUGCAAGUCGAACGGCAGCACAGUAAGAGCUUGCUCUUACGGGUGGCGAGUGGCGGACGGGUGAGGAAUACAUCGGAAUCUACUUUUUCGUGGGGGAUAACGUAGGGAAACUUACGCUAAUACCGCAUACGACCUACGGGUGAAAGCAGGGGAUCUUCGGACCUUGCGCGAUUGAAUGAGCCGAUGUCGGAUUAGCUAGUUGGCGGGGUAAAGGCCCACCAAGGCGACGAUCCGUAGCUGGUCUGAGAGGAUGAUCAGCCACACUGGAACUGAGACACGGUCAAGACUCCUACGGGAGGCAGAAGUGGGGAAUAUUGGACAAUGGGCGCAAGCCUGAUCCAGCCAUACCGCGUGGGUGAAGAAGGCCUUCGGGUUGUAAAGCCCUUUUGUUGGGAAAGAAAAGCAGCAGGUUAAUACCCCGCUGUUCUGACGGUACCCAAAGAAUAAGCACCGGCUAACUUCGUG